rnacentral:rRNA from 1 species
AGUGAACGCUGGCGGUAGGCCUAACACAUGCAAGUCGAACGGCAGCACAGUAAGAGCUUGCUCUUACGGGUGGCGAGUGGAGGACGGGUGAGGAAUACAUCGGAAUCUACUUUUUCGUGGGGGAUAACGUAGGGAAACUUACGCUAAUACCGCAUACGACCUACGGGUGAAAGCAGGGAAUCUUCGGACCUUGCGCGAUUGAAUGAGCCGAUGUCGGAUUAGCUAGUUGGCGGGGUAAAGGCCCACCAAGGCGACGAUCCGUAGCUGGUCUGAGAGGAUGAUCAGCCACACUGGAACUGAGACACGGUCCAGACUCCUACGGGAGGCAGCAGUGGGGAAUAUUGGACAAUGGGCGCAAGCCUGAUCCAGCCAUACCGCGUGGGUGAAGAAGGCCUUCGGGUUGUAAAGCCCUUUUGUUGGGAAAGAAAAGCAGCAGGUUAAUACCCCGCUGUUCUGACGGUACCCAAAGAAUAAGCACCGGCUAACUUCGUG